GUACUCAUGUCAGCAGCACAUGUCCCAAAAUUAGAAUGACAUAGAGAAGAUGAGUGUAGCCCCUGCAUCAGAGUGACACACAAAUUCAUGAAAUAUUCCAUAUUUUA
ensembl:snRNA U6 U6 spliceosomal RNA